UAACCUAAUAUCACAAAUAUUUUAUCAUAAUUUUGAAAUCCAUAAUUAUGUCACUGUAACGUUGCACUAAAACUACGAAUGUAUAAAAAGACGUGGCAUGGCGGUCUUGUAUCUUUUUAAAGCAUAAAUGGCGGGGAAAAUAGUGAUUUUGGCGCUGGCGUUAUCAAUUUGCAAGGUCCAAUCACAAUCAACUGGUUGCUUUUCGCCGUCAUCAAACAGCCAGUCAUCAUGCGGGCCAUCGCAAUCACAGACGGUAAAUCAAUCAA